CAGCAGGCGCGCAAAUUACCCAAUCCCGACACGGGGAGGUAGUGACAAUAAAUAACAAUACAGGGUUCUUUGAAUCUUGUAAUUGGAAUGAGUACAAUUUAAAUCUCUUAACGAGGAACAAUUGGAGGGCAAGUCUGGUGCCAGCAGCCGCGGUAAUUCCAGCUCCAAUAGCGUAUAUUAAAGUUGUUGCAGUUAAAAAGCUCGUAGUUGAAUUUCGGGAUCAAUACGUCGGUCGUGCUUUCGGGUACGUACUGGCGUCAUUGGCUUCUCCUUUCUGACGAACCAUGAUGUCAUUAAUUUGGUGUUAUGGGGAGUUAGGACUGUUACUUUGAAAAAAUUAGAGUGUUUAAAGCAGGCAUUAGCUUGAAUACAUUAGCAUGGAAUAAUGAAAUAGGACGUUCGAUCCUAUUUUGUUGGUUUCUAGGAUCAACGUAAUGAUUAAUAGGGAUAGUUGGGGGCAUUAGUAUUCAAUUGUCAGAGGUGAAAUUCUUGGAUUUAUUGAAGACUAACUACUGCGAAAGCAUUUGCCAAGGAUGUUUUCAUUAAUCAAGAACGAAAGUUAGGGGAUCGAAGACGAUCAGAUACCGUCGUAGUCUUAACCAUAAACUAUGCCGACUAGGGAUCGGAUGAUGUUAAUUUUUUAAUGACUCAUUC
rnacentral:rRNA from 1 species